rnacentral:rRNA from 1 species
CCUACGGGAGGCAGCAGUCGGGAAUAUUGCGCAAUGGAGGAAACUCUGACGCAGUGACGCCGCGUGCAGGAAGAAGGUUUUCGGAUUGUAAACUGCUUUAGACAGGGAAGAAAAAAGACAGUACCUGUAGAAUAAGCUCCGGCUAACUACGUGCCAGCAGCCGCGGUAAU